AAAAAUAAAAUUAAUUUUAAAAUUGAAUUCUCGAAACUAUAAUACAAGCAUGAAAAAUUCAAUAGUACACAAGAUCUUCAAAUCUACUGGACAUUGUAAAAAAAAAAACCUAAAUUAAUCAGAGUGGAUCAGAAUUCAUCAAAAUUGUUUGCUCCCACUUUUUUAAGUCCUACUCACUUUCUCUAAAACCCCCUUUUAAAAUAAAAUCUGUCCCACCUUUUUAUUCAAACAAGUAAUAAGGAUAUUUAUAAUCUUUAUCAUAAUGAGGAUGUUUAAGACAUCCUCACUCACGAGUCCGUUCUUCAUCACUUAAAAUCAAAUGGCACCCUUUGGCCCAAUAAAUGCCAUGUAAGGUAUGAGUUCAAGGCAAAUGUUAAAAUUUACUUGGCAGGUGAAGGCGCUCUUAUUUCGGUGAAUUCGUCAUUUUCUUAAACUUUCAGCAGAACCGAAAGACAUCUGUCAAUAGAUAAAACCUAAAAAUAAAAUCGAAUAAAGACACCCAAACUCAAUACUAGACAUAUUGAAGGGUAGAUUGACUCUCAACAAACAAUACUUUGUAGAGUCAAAAUCCCCUCAACAAAAAGUACAUUCACUAAAUUAGUUCUAGACAAUCCCAACAAGGACUGCUGUUGAGACGCAGUGCACACGGACAAGAAACUACCUGGAAAAAGAAAACUAGCUAGCAUCACAAACUGAUAGUAAUAGCUUAUUUUGCUCGAUUAUUUAGAGAAACUACAAAUAAAACACAUCAUUCUGGAAGACAAUUGUCUAAGAAAAUUAUGGCAUCUAAGCGAUUAUCAGCAAGUGCUUCCAAAAUGCAAAUAAAACAAAUCAUUUUGAGUGCCAAUCUAAGAAAUUUUUUAUAAAUCUCAACAUUUAAUCAUAUUGUAUCUUUUCUGCAUUUUGGCUGCAGCCAUUCUUACAAGAAAAUCUUCCUCAAAUGUGAUUUGAAACUUUUAACAGGAAAAAGCAGAAUUGAAAAACUUCUUAACCUGUUUCCUUCUUUCCAAGAUGAUAUGAAUUGUUUCUUUUAGUAGCAAGGGAUCUCCAUCAGGGCCAGCAAUAUCAUCGAGCAAAACAUCUCCAGCAUCAUACCUGGAUAUUGGAACAAGGAGAAAGAUGAAAAAAAGUAAGCUAACACACAAUCAUCGGGAUGUGAGGAUGAAGUCAUCGUCCUAUUUAUAAGCGACUAAAACAAAAAGCCACUAGGAAAUGAGUGACAAACUAGUUCGGAGAAAAGGGAGGUUAAAGA
rnacentral:lncRNA from 1 species